GCUUUCGUGGUGCAGUGGUCAGCACACUCAGCACGUAUUCGAGAGAUCCGUGGUUUGAAUCCCGGCGAGGGCA
rnacentral:tRNA from 1 species